AAUAUUUGAGACCGGCGCACGGGUGCGUAACGCGUAUGCAAUCUACCUUUUACAGAGGGAUAGCCCAGAGAAAUUUGGAUUAAUACCUCAUAGUAUAGUGAGUUGGCAUCAACACACUAUUAAAGUCACAACGGUAAAAGAUGAGCAUGCGUCCCAUUAGCUAGUUGGUAAGGUAACGGCUUACCAAGGCAACGAUGGGUAGGGGUCCUGAGAGGGAGAUCCCCCACACUGGUACUGAGACACGGACCAGACUCCUACGGGAGGCAGCAGUGAGGAAUAUUGGUCAAUGGGCGCAAGCCUGAACCAGCCAUGCCGCGUGCAGGAUGACGGUCCUAUGGAUUGUAAACUGCUUUUGCACAGGAAGAAACACUCGGUCGUGACCGAGCUUGACGGUACUGUGAGAAUAAGGAUCGGCUAACUCCGUGCCAGCAGCCGCGGUAAUACGGAGGAUCCAAGCGUUAUCCGGAAUCAUUGGGUUUAAAGGGUCCGUAGGCGGCCAGAUAAGUCAGUGGUGAAAGCCCAUCGCUCAACGAUGGAACGGCCAUUGAUACUGUUUGGCUUGAAUUAUUUGGAAGUAACUAGAAUAUGUAGUGUAGCGGUGAAAUGCUUAGAGAUUACAUGGAAUACCAAUUGCGAAGGCAGGUUACUACAAAUUGAUUGACGCUGAUGGACGAAAGCGUGGGUAGCGAACAGGAUUAGAUACCCUGGUAGUCCACGCCGUAAACGAUGGAUACUAGCUGUUGGGAGCAAUCUCAGUGGCUAAGCGAAAGUGAUAAGUAUCCCACCUGGGGAGUACGUUCGCAAGAAUGAAACUCAAAGGAAUUGACGGGGGCCCGCACAAGCGGUGGAGCAUGUGGUUUAAUUCGAUGAUACGCGAGGAACCUUACCAAGGCUUAAAUGUAGAUUGACCGGUUUGGAAACAGACUUUUCGCAAGACAAUUUACAAGGUGCUGCAUGGUUGUCCUCACCUCGUGCCCUGAGGUGUCAAGUUAAGUCCUAUAACGAGCGCAACCCCUGUUGUUAGUUGCCAGCGAGUCAUGUCGGGAACUCUAGCAAGACUGCCAGUGUAAACUGUGAGGAAGGUGGGGAUGACGUCAAAUCAUCACGGCCCUUACGCCUUGGGCUACACACGUGCUACAAUGGCCGGUACAGAGAGCAGCCACUACGCAAGUA
rnacentral:rRNA from 1 species